ACACAUGCAGUCGAGCGGGGAGAUGUAGCUUGCUACAUUUCCUAGCGGCGGACGGGUGAGUAAUGCUUAGGAAUCUGCCUAUUAGUGGGGGGCAACAUUCCGAAAGGAAUGCUAAUACCGCACACGCCCUACGGGGGAAAGCAGGGGAUCUUCGGACCUUGCGCUAAUAGAUGAGCCUAAGUCAGAUUAGCUAGUUGGUGGGGUAAAGGCCUACCAAGGCGACGAUCUGUAGCGGGUCUGAGAGGAUGAUCCGCCACACUGGGACUGAGACACGGCCCAGACUCCUACGGGAGGCAGCAGUGGGGAAUAUUGGACAAUGGGCGAAAGCCUGAUCCAGCCAUGCCGCGUGUGUGAAGAAGGCCUUUUGGUUGUAAAGCACUUUAAGCGAGGAGGAGGCUACUUAGAUUAAUACUCUAGGAUAGUGGACGUUACUCGCAGAAUAAGCACCGGCUAACUCUGUGCCAGCAGCCGCGGUAAUACAGAGGGUGCGAGCGUUAAUCGGAUUUACUGGGCGUAAAGCGUGCGUAGGCGGCUUUUUAAGUCGGAUGUGAAAUCCCUGAGCUUAACUUAGGAAUUGCAUUCGAUACUGGGAAGCUAGAGUAUGGGAGAGGAUGGUAGAAUUCCAGGUGUAGCGGUGAAAUGCGUAGAGAUCUGGAGGAAUACCGAUGGCGAAGGCAGCCAUCUGGCCUAAUACUGACGCUGAGGUACGAAAGCAUGGGGAGCAAACAGGAUUAGAUACCCUGGUAGUCCAUGCCGUAAACGAUGUCUACUAGCCGUUGGGGCCUUUGAGGCUUUAGUGGCGCAGCUAACGCGAUAAGUAGACCGCCUGGGGAGUACGGUCGCAAGACUAAAACUCAAUGAAUUUGACGGGGGGCCCGCACAAGC
rnacentral:rRNA from 1 species